UCCUGAACUAAGCGAUAUGCUGGCCAGUGGUGUUGGGAGUGGGUCUGGUGUUGUUCUUGCCUACCGGGCAUAUUUUGAGAAUUGUGGGGUUGUUGGGGUGUGUGGGGUUUCCUGGGGUGUGGACACUCAUUCCUCCAGUGGCCAUAUUGUCCACAGUUGAAACAAGUGUUCCUGUCUAUUCCUCCUUGGUUACCCCUAUAACCCUGAUUUCCCUGUCUCCAUCCCCUUGCCCCUCUUUGACCACCCCUUUCCACAGGCUUUAUGUGCUCCAUCCCAUCCACGCUCUCAGCCUGUGUAGCUGGACAUAAUAUGUUGCAAUCCCUGAGCAUAAUAAGCAACCUUACUUUCCUAAAUCUUUUCUUAAUUCAGAACAACCUGCAUUUUCCUUUUCUAUAACCUUGGUAAGAAACUCUGAGCUAUCCAAAUUGGCCCAGUCUGAAAUCAAUUGUUUCACAAGCAAAGAAUACUGUGGCAACAUAUUACCAAGGCAUGACUGUAUUUUAAAAAGAUCUAUAUCAUCUCCAGACAUCAAACCUGCCUCAUCCUUCCAACACUUGUAAAAUUUCUUUACAAAAAUCAUAUUACCAAUCUCUUCCUUUGCAUCCUGCUUAAAUGCCAAAGCAGUGAAUAUAGACUGCUUAUUCUUCCAUAAUCCCAACAUUUCAGCUUCCACCUUGUUCCAGAUUUUAGCACAUCUUACUGAAGUACUAAGCUCAUAAUCACCAAUUCAUUUCAAACCAUAUAACUUAUACUCAGCAUCCCAUGUAAUAUUAGUCAUCUCACAAAACAAUAUCUUUGUAGAAACACAUAAUGGGUACCCAGCAGAUAUGCCAAUACAGAAAUCACAUUUAUGGGCACACAACUACACACUCUGUCUCCCUCCUAGGAAACAUGGAUAGACACAAUAUAAAAGCAAUCUUAAACUAACACCUCCAAAUCUCCAACUAUUCUUGGCCAAAACGCUAGUAUUCAACAACUAAUAAAACAGUUAUUUGCUAGGUUAUUUGGCUGUCAUUCUUAUCAGUAUCACUAGACUGUGACAAAC